rnacentral:lncRNA from 1 species
UCCAGCCCCACCCUCUGGGGCAGGGCCUGGCGGACCCUCGAGCGCUCGCAGUCAUCAACCUGCGAGGGCCGGAUGGAGAAACUGAGGCCUGAGUUGAGGCCACUCAUUAGUGCAAGGACCAGCGACCAACCCAAACCCAACACCUCCGGUCCCGUGCAAUUGUCCCCAGCCCUCCAGUGAACCUGGAUGUGCUUUCUGAGGACUGGUGAGCUGAUCCGAAGCCUGAGGACCUGGAUCACGCCGAGCAGAAUUAGAGUGACUGGGCUUUGUGUGCCAAUCCUGUACCCAGACUCCGGUGUGUGCCUAGGCGCAGGCAGAACAAAGUUUUACAUCUAGCUUUCCUCUGUUGUACGGGGUAAGUUAGGGUCUCUUUGAGCCUGGGUUUCCGAUGAGAUGUACGCAGCUCCACUGGGUGAGCUCCAACAUGACCCGUGUCACAUAAGGCAAGCGGCUGUGACUGGAUCACACAGUGCACAACUUGCACCACUGGCACUCCAUAGCUGGGCUAAGCCCUUCUCCGAGCUCAGACAAGUAUCCCAAACCAUGCAGAUGAGGCUGAAAUGAGGGGAGGGUGGAGAUGCCCAAAGAGGCCUGUUGCUGGCUCAUCACAUGUGCCCACAUCCCAGACUCGGUGGUGGGUGGAAGAUUUGUCCUUUUCCAAGGGCUCACUAGGAGGCAACCAGUCUCAGUGAGUAUCACCUGGUUCCUUAUUGGAGCCACCUGUAAGCCGGGCAACCAAGGGACUCUCAGACAUUGUCAAGGGCACUGUAACUCAAGAGAGAUUCCCCCUACCCCGGGUUCCUCAGGCAGGAGGCCAGCAGGGACCCUAGAGGUGGGACCAGGUUCUUACUGAUGGCUGGCUUUCAAGAAGGAUAACCUUUGCAGACAGUUUCUUCCCUCUUCUGCCAUUUCCUCUGUUCUUUCUCCUUCUCUCCCUCCCCUUCCUUCUCUCUCUCUUUGCCUCUUCCUCUUUCCUCUCUCUUCCCACCGCACUCCUUUCGCAUUGCGCUGGACUCUUCCUUACUUUGGGGCUCUCUGCAACUUCCAGCCAGGCUCCUCCUCCCUUCCCUAACCUCACCAAUUUUGUGCCUCCCUCUCAGCCAGGCAUAACCAGUCACUUUGCCAGUCUCACCCAGUGCCCACACGGUCCAUGCCAGCAGCCACCCGCUGGACAGUCAGAUCCUCCCUGGAGUGACAGCUGAGCAGCAUGAUCAGGACCUUCCCUGCUGGCUGUCAACAAGUUCUGUACUUCAGUUGUGAAGUCUCAUAAAUAAAAAGGCCAUGCAUGCUGUAGCUGUACAGCUUAAAAAUAAUAACGCCCCUCACAGUUUAGUGAGCAGAAGGGCCAGCAGUAGCCUUUAAACCCUGGUAUCUUCCCAAAUGUGUUUCUUACUUGCCCCCUCCCCAAGGGUCUUCUCUGUCCUAAAUUUUCAUCUUAAUCAUCCUCUUGAUUUUCUUUAUAGUUUACCUGCUUUAAAACUUUAUAAAAAAGUGAAAAUGCCCUUUGAUGGAUCCUUGCCUGACCCCCGGCCCCCUUUUCAAUCCCCAGUGUCUGUGUGGCUGAUGGUCUAUAUCAGUUUAUCACUGGCCCUUUGAUCAGUAUUUACCUCAUCUUCAGAUUUUCUGCUAGAGCAAGCCAUAGUUCUGUGACCUCUUGAACUUGCAUCUGGAUGCACUCAGAGAAUAUGCUGGAAAUGAAACUGUGGAGACAUGUGUUCAGCUCAUCUGCCUCUUUGCUAAAUGAUGUUCAUUAUUUCCAGUUUCUGAUUUCCAAGAAAUUACCUAUUUUACUGUCCUAACUGUAGCACAUGUGGGUCCUCAUUGCUGCACAUUUUCACCAACAAUUUGCAUUCUUGGAUCUUUAAUUUCUGCCAGUGUGCUAAGAUGAAGUAGUGUUUCAUGUGGAUUAAAUCCUCUUUGCUCUGAUUACCAAUGGCAUUAAUCAUCUUUUGUACAUCUAUUGCCCAGCCUCACUUCCUUUCAUAAGAAAUGCCUUUCAUAAGGUCUCUUGUGUACUUUUUAAUAAUUCAGUUGUUGAGUUUUUUUAUUGACUCUUAAAAGUAUCUCUGUAUUUUAGAUACUAAUCUUGCUGGCUAUUGGUGUUAUAAAUAGCUUCUUUCAAUGUUUACAUUUAUUUUCAUUCCCUUUGUUGCAUAUUUUGAUAGACAAGUUUUUAGUUUUUGUUUAGUCAAAAUUCAUCACAGUUAGCCUUUGUUUAAGAAAUCUUUUCAGUCAUAGUUGUGCCUGCCUCUAGUCCCAGCACCCAGAGGCUGAUCUGGGAGGUUUGCUGGAGUUCAGGAGUUCCAGACCAGCCUAGAAGAUGUAGAGAGACCCCAUAUCAAAAAUAAACUUUUCCCAACUUUAAACCAUAGAGAUGCUAUCCCAGAGCUUUGUAGGAAAAAUUAAAAUAUUUCUUUCUUUACAAGUUUCAGCUAUUUUACAACUUAGCAUUGGGUGAGGAAGCAAUUCCAGUUUCCCUCUAUUAAUAAUCAAUUUCCAGUGCCUUGGUGGUCAGCACUGGCCCUACCUGUUGAUCUGCAGUGGUGUUUGUGAGGAGUCCUUUUAGGACGGGUCUGGUUCUGCUGGUCUGCUCCGUGGGUUGUUCAUCUAGCCCAACACUAAUGCUAUUUCGACUUAGUCACCACAGCUUCAUACUGGGUGAAAUAGGAUAGUGUCACUGGAGGGGGUCCAAGAGGUCCUGGAGAGGGGGCCCUCAACUUGGGAUGACAGGGUCCUUGACAAAUGUGGCAGAAAAUUAUUUUACUUUAUUUUCAUUUUUUGGUACCAGGGAUUGAACCCAGGAGUACUUAACCACUGAGCCCCAUCCCCAGCUCUAUUUCUAUUUUAUUUAGAGACCGGGUCUCACUAAGUUGCUUAGGGCCUCGCUAAGUUGCUAAGGCUGGCUUUGAACUCACAGAUCCUCCUGCCUCAGCCUCCCGCUGGGAGUACAGGUGUGUGCCACAGCAUGUGGCUGGCAGAAAAGAAUGUUAAGACGUGUGAGAUAGAAGGACAACAGAGGCUUGCUCAGGAAAGGGAGAAUGCAGGGAGUGAGAGGCAUUGGGGGUCUUGAGCUCUUCUUUGAAAGGAAGCUGUGAGGUUUGGCCAUGAGAAGGCCUGGGGGUGGUGACCUCAGUGUGGCGAUCACUGUUUCCAGAACCUUCCUCAUCAUGUGAUCAACAGAGAACAUUUGGAAUGUACCAGAUUGUAGAGGUUUCCUAAAAUAUCAUCUCUCCCUUUGUUUAAUCUACUCCAAAAAUACAUGUGUUGAUACAUUGCUCAGGGAAGUUUUUAUAACUGAGUGAAUUUCUGGUAGCUUUAAGAUUGUGAGUGAGGAUUCGUAGAUUUCCCAGAAAUCCAGGAGCGACACACUUGGGGACAGGCACGCGGAUCUUCAGUGCAGGCGCUCAAGUUAAGGUCAUAUCCCCUUUUCCUUCCUUUGUCUCCUUUCUACCUGUCUUUUCUUUCCUUUUCUAGAAGUUUCUUGGCUACUCCUGGCCUGUACUCUUCUGGAUAGGUAUCUCUCUAUACAUACUUAGCUCUUCUUUAAUAUUUUUAUGCAUGGAUCUAGCAAAUCUUUUGCUGAAAGCAUUCAUCCCUUUCUGCUUUUUGGAAGUUAAAUAUUUUAUUUUGAAUGCUCCUAGGUUCGUUUGUAGUCGUACAAAAUAAUACAGAGCUCUCACGCACACUUUGCCCUGCUUCUCACCAUGGUUAACAUCUUACAAUUAUUACAGUUUAUAAAAUGUGACCACUGGGAUGUGGACAUUGAUAUGGUGAAGGUUCGAACACACCCGUCACCCCCAGGAUCCCCCUGUUGUGUUGUCCAGCCAGCCCUGUGUCACUGCUGCCCCACCACUCUUAGUUCCUGGCAGCCACGGGUUAUUUUCCAUUUCUCUAAUUGAGUCAUCUCAAGAGUGUUCUGUACGUGGGCCAUAGAACAGCUGACCUCCUCUGGCCAGCAGUUUUCAGGCGUUGCUGCUGCACCAAUAGUUUGUUCCCCUUCGUUGGUGGGUAAUAUUUCAUUUUGUGGAUGCACCACAGUUAGUUUAACCAUGAGCUGAUUGAAGGACACCUGUGUUGUUUGUCUUUGGAUAUUUUGAAUAAAGCUGCUAUAAACAAUCAUGUAUAGGCUUCUGUAUGAAUGUUGUCUUCCUUUCUCUGGGAUGCAUUUUUCUUUAAAAAAUAUUUUUAUCAGUGCAUUAUAGUUAUACAGAGUAGUGGGGUUCAUUUUGAUGCAAUCACACCUACAGGGAAUAUAAUUUGCUCCAUUUCAAUCCCUGGUCUUGCCUCUUUCUCUCUUCUUCUCCUUCCCGGUGUUCCUCUUGUGCUAUUCUCCUGGUCUUCUGUUUAUGUUUUUUUUCAAUUGGUGCUUUAUAGAUACACAUAGCAGUGACAUUUAUUGUGGUAUGUUCACAUAUGUACAUAGCAUAAUCUGGUCAGUUUCAAUCUGAACCUGUUUUCCACGAUGGUGGUACCAUUUCACACCCUCACCGAGUGUUUCCACAGUCUUGCCAACGCUAGGUGUUACGAUGGCUAGUUGUACACGUCAUCUUGACUGGCCAUGAGGUUCCCAAAUUAAACAUUCUUUCUGGGUCUGUCUGAGGGUGUUUCUGGAUGAGAUCAUACAUUGGAGUGGAUGGAUUCAGUCGAGAUUGUAAUUUUGGGGUGCAUCAUGGAGGGCUUGAGUUGAACCUGGAGGCUGGGGAAGGAGGACUUGGCCUCUUUUCCCAGACUCACCCCUUGAUCUGGGACAUCUUUCACCUUCUGCUCUGGGGUGCGCUGUUGGCCCCCUGGUUCUCAGGACUUGAGACUCUGAAGAACCGUCUCUUCCCUGGCCUCCGGGGAAGCUGCUGAUCAUGGGUCUUCCUGGCCCCUCUUACUGUUGGAAGCCAACUCCCAUAAGAAAUCAUAUACAUCACUUUAAGUCCUAUUAGUUCCGUUUCUCUAGAGAGCCUGACUAACGCGGGCAUCCUCAUUAUUUUUACUUUCGCCGACCCGGUGGGCACGCGGUGAUAGCUCACUGGGGUUUUACUCUGUGUGCCCCGAGGGCUAAUGAUGCUGACCAUCUUUUCGCUUGCUUGUUUGUCAUCUGUAUGUCCUUCUGAUAAAAUGUCUGUUCGUGUCUUUUGCCCUUUCCUGAUUAUGCUGUUGGUUUACUCUUGAGUUUCGAGAGUUCCUUAUGUUGAUUAGAAACUCCUUUUUCAUCAAGUCUGUGUUUUGAAGAUAUUUCCUCCAGUUUGUAGCUUCUCUUUUCAGCCUCCUAAUAGGGUCAACAGUCAGAGUUAACCUAUUAAAUUUUGAUGAAGUCGAGUUUAUCAGUUUUUUUCUCUUUUGAUGGUGGUUUUUGUGGUGUCAAGUCUGAUAACUCAUUGACUGGCCCCAUAUUGUGAGGAUUUUCUCCUGAAAGGUUUAGGGGUCACACGACUUUUGUGUUAAAGUCUCUAUGAGGUGUAGGACUCAGGAGAGGGUCACACUUCACGGUGGACGCUGUCUUGCUGUGGCACCUGUGUUAAACAGUCCCUCUCCUCCCCUGAACUGUCCUCACACCUUUAUCAAACCCCUAGGGCAUGUUUGUGGGGGUCUGCUUCUGGGUUCUCUACUCUGUGAGUUGGUCUGUGUGUCUGCCCCUGGCUAGUCCACGGCUUGCUCACUGUAGCUGUAGGGCAAGUGGUAAAACCAGGGAGCCAGCUUCUUUGCAUGUUUCCCUCAUCUCCCCAAAAUAUUUUGACUCUUCCAGUUCUUUUGCCUUUCCAUAUAAAUUUUAGAAUAUUCUUGUCUAUAUUCUCCUGGCCAUUCUCAGUCAGUCCCCAGCCUCAGUCAACUAUGGUCAGACUUAUCACUACAGAUUAGAUUUGUCUUUUCCAGAUUUUUUUUCUGUAGAUGGAAUCAUACCAAAUGUUCUCUUGUCUGAUUUCUUCCAUUCAUCAUGAAGUUUUUGAGGGUCAUCAUGCUGCAUAUAUAUCUCCAUAGCUCCAUGGUUGCUAUGGAACAGUAAGCGUGUAAUGAACGGAUGUCUGUCUGUCUUUCCACCCUGUUGGCGGGCCUUUGGGUGGUUUCCAAGCCUUUGGCUGUUAUGGCAAAACCUCCCAUGAAGGUUUGUGUGCAGGUCUCUGUGUAGACAUCUAGCUCGCUUGGCUGUGUGUCUGUUGGGAAGUACCAGCUUGUUUUCCAGAGUGUGCACGUUUUGCCUUUGCACCAACAGUGUGUGAGAAUUCCAGCCGCCUUACUCUUUGCCACACUUGGUGUUCUCAUUCUUUUAAUUUAGCCAUUCUAGAGGGUAUAGAGUAGUAUUUCAUUACCUUUUGGUUUUAUUUUAUUUGUAGAGAGGAGAAGUCUAUUUUGGCUCCUGGUUUCAGAGGACUCAGUCCAUAGACGGCUGACUCCGUAGCACUGGGCCCAAGGUGGGGCAGAAUCGCAUGGCGGAAGGGUGUGGCAGAGGAAGGCAGUUCAGGAUGGGGCAACAGGAGAGAGAGAGAGAGAGAGAGAGAGACUCCCCUCAUCCCCUCACCAGGGACAAAGGCAUAAACCCAGAGGCAUCACAGUGUGAAUUCACCCUUCCCCCAUGAUGAAGGGGUUGGCAUCAGCUCACGUGCUCAUUGCCCAUUGGUUCAUUUUCUUUUAUGAAAGGUCUGUUCAAAUCUUUUGCCCACCUAAAACACAUUGGAUUGCUUGCUCUUUUUUUUAUUAUUGAGUUUCAAGAAUCCUUUAUUUUGUAUUUGUUCUUUAUUAGGUAUUUUGGGUAGGUCCUGUGUCCUAGGUCCUGUGUCAGACGCAUGUACUGUAAAUAUUUUCUCAGUCUGUGACUUUUGUAUUUUUCUCUUAAAAAUUUAAUACAGUCAUUCAUUCAGUGCAUUUAAGGUGUCCAUAAUGUUUUGAUAUAUUUAUCUUGAUACACAGGUGUGUAGUGAAAUAGUUGAGCAAAUGAACACGCCCAUCAUCUCAUGUGGUCAUCUUUCUUUCUUUCUUUUUGUGGUAAGAAUACCUAAAAUUUGUUCUCUUGGCAGACUUGCAGAUAGCAAUUCAGUCUUGUUAACCGCAACCCUCGUGCUGUGCACGCACUCUCUAGACUCGCUCAUCCCACACUUCUGCAGUGCUCACCCUUUGCCUCCGUCCCCCCACAUCGCCCUCCGCCCUGACAACCACGCUUCUACUCUGUUUCCAUGUGUGGUGAGUGGCAGGAUUGCUGCUUUUCUUUUUUUAACUUUUUAAAAUUCAUCCUAAUUAGUUAAAUAUGGUGAUAGAAUGCAUUUUGAGACCUCAUAUAUACAUGGAGUCUGACUUCUCAUUCUCCUGGUUGUGUACAUGAUGCAGGGUCACACUGGUCGUGCAGUCAUCAAUGCACACAGGGUAAUGAUGUCCGAUUCACUCUACUCUCCAUCCUACCCCCACACCCCCUUCACUUCCCUCUGCCUAAUCCAAAGUACCUCUGUUCUCCCCUAGCACCCCGCCUUGUGAAUUAGCAUCCACAUAUUAGAGGGAACAUUCGGCCUUUGGUUCUUUGGGACUGGUCAGCCCCUUCCAGGCAGAUAUGCACAGUAGAAGGAUCACUGUCCUCGCUCUGCAAAGUGACCUUGCCCAGCUGGUAAAAUGACUAGUUGGGGACACCAAGAAUUCUAUCUGCUGUGGGUUUAGCAGCCUUUGCUGGUGACCCCUGGUCUCUCAGAUUUACCCUGGCCAGCACUGAGCCACGAUUCCCCUCUUCCACCUGCCCCAGAUCAAGCAGGUGAUGGAGGACCCUGCAGGUCACACACUGCACAGGGUGCCUGGCAGGGAGGAGAGUGUCCUCCCGCCUGAGGCCAGUGAGAGGCUGUCUCCAGAGAGAGGUGCCUUUGCUAAUUCCCCUAAAGGGUCUUAGGAGGAAUUAGAAAAAUACCCGGGAAUCAUCCUUAUCUUUUCUGUCCCUUACCUCUCUUCUCAGAGUUCCCCGAGCUCUGGCCACACAAGUCUCCUUUGUGUCCCAGGGGUAAGCCAGGUGAAGUCUGCUUUCUCAGGGAAUUGGUCUUGGCUAUUUCUCUGCUUGAAACUCUUGCUCUGGAUCUUUCUUCCAGAGGUUCAGGUUUCAGUUCAAAAGCCACCUCUUCCAGGAGGCCCUCCCUGACCACCCUCACUUAAGUAUCCCUAUCAUAGCACUUAUUUAUUUUUUUUCCAUAGCAUUUCUCCAUUUUUAAUUAUUUACUGGUUAGAAGAGGCAAUCUGCUGUGGGUCCUGAGCACCCCUGCUUGUCCCCCAGGGGUGGUGAAGGCAAGGCUCUGGUGGGCCUAUCCACCAGGCCAUUCCUUGGGACUUUUUUUUUUGGUGAGUGACCUACACAGGAUGAGGUCACAUCUGCCCCAGACGAGGGACCACAGUGCUCACUGCUGGUUCCCAGAGCAGCGAAUCCCAGGGUUCUGCGUUGGCCUCCUGUAAUGCAGCCGCCCCCCCCCCGUGUGCAAUUCCUGCCUCAGGCCUGGCCUCACCCCUCUCCCCCCACAUGCGGGUAUGGGUGAGAAUGGCGCAGCUGUGUGCUCGGAGACCUUGCCCUGCACCAGACGCUGCUGGCUGCUGAUUGCUUGACCUCUCCCCAGCCAGGCCAGGUCAGCCUGUCUCUGUCUGAGGCCCAGAACAGGGAAGUUCUGGUAAGUACAUGAGACCAGAGGCCCCUCCAUGCUCUUGGUCCUGGCAGUGUGACCUGGGAAUGGGGACCAGGACGCGUGUGGGCCCCAGACAGCGAUUAUGCCCAGUCCUGUAUAUAUAAUUCAUGGUGCUAAGAACGGGGAUCUGGAGAUAAGGAAGGUUGUGUUCCUUAAAAGAUCCUUGUGCUGAAGGCCACAGCAGGGGUCUUGUCACUGUCCCCAUCUGGGACCCAGAUGCAGAAGACAGGGACCACAGAGACCUUGGAGUGGACGCCUGUCCUGCCUGGAAAACCCUGAAAGAAUCCAUGAGUUUCUUGCUGAGUGAUGAACUUGAUGAAUUAUUCAGGGCACAUCCAGGGGGUGGACGUGGCCUAGACUGUCCCUUUUUAAUGGACAAGAAAAAAAUGAGGCAGUGGGACAGCUAAGUGCACAGGAAAUCCUGCUGUCCCUGGGGCCUGGCCCACACUGCAGCCUUUGUCUGGUCACACAGGAAGGCUCCUGUCCUGACCACUCCCAGGGCCUCCCCCCAGGGCUUCUGAAAAAGAGACUCUGGGCUGCUAGGGCCUGGCCCAGCAGGGGACCUCGUUCAAAUGCUGUAUCCCCACAAACCAGAUUCAGCAGUCUGGAUCAUACAGCCUCCCCAGGUGAUUCCCCUGCCUGCCCAUCUUUCUCCCAGCCAAAAUCAAGCCUUCUCUAGGGCUCCCUAGGACUCCAUUAGGAAAUUGCAAUUCCAUUCAAUUAUUGAACAGGUACUUGCUGGGCACCUGCUCAUCUUGCACAGGUUGCCUCUAAACCUCAGUAGACAGGCUCAGAGAGGCUCACCUGCUCAGGUUGCUCAGUGAACAUCGGGCAGUGGUAGGACUUUUUUUUUUUUUUUAUAAAUUUUUUUUUUAAGAGAGAGGGAGAGAGAGAGAAUUUUAAUAUUUAUUUUUUAGUAUUUGGUGGACACAACAUCUUUGUUUGUAUGUGGUGCUGAGGAUCGAACCCAGGCCGCACGCAUGCCAGGUGAGCGCGCUACCGCUUGAGCCACAUCCCCAGCCCCAGUGGUAGGAUUUUAAUCCAGACCCAGAUGAAUCCAGAGUUCAUAUAUAUUCUGUGCUAUGGUUUAUGUUCAAGGAACUGGCUAUAUUUUAGUCAGACUAAUGCAAAAAUACUAACAAUUAUGAAACAAGGAACAAUUAGCUCAUGCAUUCACCCAUUUUUUCUUUCAUUCACAAAUAAUCCACUUAUUCAGUAUAGCUUUAUGAGCACCUACUAUGUGCCAGGUACUGUGUGUCUAGUAGGGAUGGCCAGAGCUGUAGCUGUACAGUUUCCACAGUGGUGACGAGGAGCUGAAUCUGACAUCUCAAAUGGCUGCCCAUUUGGGGAGAAUGAAGAAUUGGGUUUGUAUUUUAGCUUUGCUGCUGGAUGGCAGAUGACAUCAGGCAAACUAUUCAACCACUUGGAGUCAAAGAGCUUCCAUGUUUAAAACAUAGGAGUGGAUGAGGUGAUGGUCCAAGAGCCCGGUGCUGACCCUGGUGCACCGUUGGGUGUCCUGUUCAGGGAAGGACAGAAGGAAGGCUAGUUAAAGUCCCUGGGGAGAGGGAGGGAGUCAGGGAUUGCUCUUCUGCUGGUGUUUCUUGUAGCUUUAACAAAUGUUCUGCUGGAACAAGUCCACUAGAGGCAGCAGAGUGAGGGGUAGGGUGGUUUGUUUGUCCAUGAAACAUGCCAACACCCAGCAGGUGCCUGCAUGCACUGGGGACGGUUCAUGAGUGAACACGGGAAGGAGGUCACGUGCAUGUACGGUCAGAUGCGUGAGUGCUUGAUAGAUUAGGAGGAUGUAGGAAGCCUCGCCUGCAUUCCUUUUCUGACACACACACUUCAGGACUGAUGUUCAUGAUGAGCCAAUGCCAGGUGGAUAGACGCUUGCUUCGUUGGUGCAGGGUUCCCGCAGCACAGGAAAGAAAGGGAACUUAGGAGCAGGACUCCUGUGCUGCCCCAUCCCGAGAGACCCGUGCAUAUGGCCACUCAUCCCCUCUAAAGCAAGCCCUAGCCCUCCUGAGUGCCAGGAACUGGGCCACGUUCCACAGCAGGGAAAGGUACCAAGCUGGUAAAUGGAACGAGGCCAGUACAGACCUGGGCUGUCCAGUUAGGGGGCACUGGUGACACGUGCCUUGUAAUAGGGUAGUCUGAGAUAAAAAAUAUACAAUGUCCACAAGAUUUUGGAGAUUCAGUGUAAAAACUGUAUGAUUUUUAAACAUUGAUUACACAUUGAAAUGACAGUAAUUUGGAUGCAUUAGGCUAAAGCCAAUCAGUUGUUAAAAUUAAUUCACCUGUUUCUUUUUAUGCUUUAUAAGGAGGCUACUAGAACAUUCUAAACCACGAUGUGGCAUGUAUUCUGCUUCUAUUGAAGCCGCUGGUGCACAGCUCAGUGCACAGAGUGCAGCUCUGAUGUGGGGAUUGACAGCUGGGAGGCUCUGGGGGGCUCUGGGCAGGCUUCUGAGUGCGGCAGGGGCCAGGCAGGUGAGUGGGAAGGAGAGAGACAGACUAGCGGCUCCAGGGAGGGGGUCAGACUUGGGCAGUUUAGCCAAAAUACUGUCCCCGUUUCCCAGGUUGACAAAAUGGAGUGUCACUUCACUCUCUGGGGAAGCUCCUUGCUAGAGUUCCAGGCUAGACCCAGGACCUUGCCCGGGCGCUGGGAUGUGGAAUGCUAACCCUCAGAAAUCCAUGCUGUGCGGCCAGCGCUGCCCACAUGGAGAAAGUGUCCCCUCCCCAGCCCCCCAGCUAAUCUCCCUGCCACCCACACUCGCUCUUCUGCCAGAUGCCCACUUGUCCCCAGAAGGCAAUUGCUGCUUUACCUCCUUUGUUGGCGGAGUCUCCCAAUAGUCUGAUGAAGUCAUUUUAAUUAAAGCACUGAUUGUGCUGGGAGGAAAUGGUGGGGAACACGCGGCUCUGGGGGAAGGUGGCUGGCGCUGACGCAGGGAGGUAAUUGGAAGACACUUCGCCCUCCAGCUCUGCUGCCCAGGGCAGCCACGUCCCUUCAUCUCACAGUAACAGCCGUGAUGAUGAUACUGAUCAUGUGGUCGCUAGGCUGCUCCUGUGUCCCCCCCCCCCCCCCCCCGUCCAGAGCAACCCAGCCAGGCAGCCAGUGUUCAGAGAGGGGAGCAGCUCCCUUAAACUCACACAGCUAGGGAAAGCAAGGGCCGGACUUAUACCCAGCACCUGGCCCAGUGAUCUGUCCACUGCUCCUGCCUCAUAUCCAGCAGCUCCCUGGGGUAUGAUGACGCCCUUUGGAGACCUUCCAGGUGACAGUCUUGCCCAGAUUCUGCCUCUCCCUCUACUUAGCCGAUGGAAAUCUCUAGAAGCCUCAAUUUCUUUCUCUGUUGUAUAAAAACAGAGCUAAUGCCCCCAGCCUCACAGGACAGUGAGGGUUUGAUUUAAAUAUCAGCACCUCAUUGGAGGCCCCCAGGAGCUCCCUGAUGGCUACACACGACGUCACUGUGCACACGUGAACGCAGUUCUUCCUCUCCUGGUUCUGCCCUCUGACCCCUGCAGCCUCUUCAGCUGCCUCGGUGGCUUCCCUCUGGGCCUUCUCUUGGAACUAAGAGCUGUGCUCGGCCUGGAGUAUCCAUUCCCCUCCCGACCCCUCUGCUGCCUCCAGACCUGCCUGGGCUGGGCAGGUGCCUGUCUCACCAGCAACGCAUGCUUACUGCGCGGCCCUGGAAGGGACACUUCCUGGCUUGCUUGUCACAGCAACCCCAGGCUGGCUCUCAGGGACUCUCCCAGGUGAGCAGGGACUCUGCUCCAGGCCUGGCCUGGGUGCUGUCACGUUCCCUCAAUAGAUAUGUCUAAGUCUAAACCCCUAGUACCUGGGAAUGUGGCCUUCCCCAGAAGUAGGGCCUUAGAGAUGCAAUCAAGUUUAAAUUAGACCAUGGGGGACGCUAAUCCAAUGUAACUGGUGACCUUGUAGGAGGAGAAGAGACACAGGCAUCUACAGACAGGCCUGACAAGGAGCCACCACCAAGAGCUGGGAAGGGGCAGGGGAGGGUCCUGUCCAGGGUCUCAGGGGACCAUGGCCUUGCUGACUCCUUGGGUGUUGGACUCUGAGCCUCCAGAACCGUGGAGAGCACAUUUCUGCUGUUUAAGUCUCCCAGGUUGUGAUACAUACUUUGUCACGUUGUCCCUACAGAUGCCCCUUCUACAGCUGAUGCCCUGUGAUCUGGAUGAUUGACCUCUGCCCUGUGCCUUGGUUUCCUUGCAAUGAGGGGGACAGUUGUAGUUCUCACCUCGAAGAGUCGCUGAGCAUUGAAUGAAUUAAUAGCAUGGGGGUCCCAUAAAUAAUAGACGCUAUAAGCAGAAGCUGUUACUUAUAGUGGGUCAAUAAAGUGUGUUGAAAAAAUGAGCAGAUGGAACACACGCUGUUGGUGUUCCAGAUCACUCAUUCCCUCCUUCCUCGUGCUCUACAGGUGUGGUUGCUUUUAAGUCUGGAAACUGAUGGUGGCUGUGAGCUGUUGGUACUGUCCAGCAUCCAUUCCCCUCCUCUGGUGACAGCAUCCCAAUUGUCUCCAUCCUCAUCUUCCCAGUCAAGGGGCUCAGCUGGGGCUGACCCUAUAUCUCCUGCCACCAUGAGGAUUUAAUUCAGGGGUGGACACAGUCUCAAGUUGGCUGAAUGAGAGGUAUCCCUAGCAACUUGACUGACAAGAGAAGUUGGCUUUCUGUGAAGUUGCUAAGCUGGUCGAAGGUAAUCAGAGCCGCUGGGAGCCAUCUUCCUGCCAAAGCCAGGCCACAGGGACGCAGAGCUGAGAGAGGAAGAGAGAAAGUUCCCGCAGCACCCUUUGAGCUCCUGGGUCCAUGAUGCCUGCAGGUGGACAACUCCUUUUCCAUUACCGGAGAAAAUGAAUCAAGAGUCUUGUCUCCUACAAUCAGAAAAUCUGACUGCUGUGAAAGUUGGUGGCAGGAGUGGGUGUUGCCAGAGACACGACCUCAACUGAGGGUCAGCUGAACCUGCUAUGCAGCCCUUGCGAUGCAGAGACAAGACAGAGAGUGAUCUGCCUGUCCUGAGCCUGGCACCGGGUGCUAUUUCUACUCGACUUUAAGAGACAUGGCGGGAAAAGAACACGAAAGCUUGUAGCCGGCUUCUCCUUGACUGCAAAAAAUUCUUGAAAGAAACGGAGGGAACCCAGCCCAUCUGAGGAUGAGAGAGUAGCAGCCGACUUCCCUAGAGGAGGCGUUUUCUGGUGUGGUCAAUGACCCAAGUUGAUGGUGAGCAGAUAGUCGUCUUGGUAGAAUUAGAAAUGCCAGCUCUUGGGCUGGGGAUGUGGCUCAAGUGGUAGCGCACUUGCCUGAUAUGCGUGGGGCACUGGGUUCGAUCCUCAGCACCACAUACAAAUAGAAUAAAGAUGUUGUGUCCACC